rnacentral:lncRNA from 1 species
CUUACCCAGUGACACACACAUGUACCCAGUAGCCAACAGGCUAGGAGUGAAACCUGAUUUCUGGUAUUUAUGCCAGAGGACCUUCCCCUUGUCCCAGAGAGCCCCACGUGAUGAAAGAAAAGGUCCCUCAUGAGUGGGCAUUUUAAGAAGUGACACAUGGAAAAUUCUGACCUUCUCCCUCUGUGCUGCCUUGGAACAGAGAGACAGUGGGUGCCCGAUGGAUACCUCAUCGGGGCCAGUCAGGAGGUCAGAACCCGCCCGGCUCCGGCCCAAAGAAUUAGGACCAGGCAGGUGGGAACAGAAUCGGCGGCUGGGACUACCUUAUCUACCUGAUGGAGGCCCAGUGGAACCAUUGGCUGCAUCACUAGGGGAGGGCACUGAGGACGAGGGAGGAGGCAACAGGCUUUGCCAAUUACUCCUGGACUAUUGUGCCCAGUUCUCACAUCGCGAUGUGUCCAGAGGAAAAGAGCAGGUAGGUAAGAAGUCAGCUCACCAAGUCAUGGGAGGCUCAGCUGAAAAAACUGGGGCUACAUAA